rnacentral:rRNA from 1 species
GACGGAGGAUGCAAGUGUUGUCCGGACUUACUGGGCGUAAAGCGCGUGCAGGCGGAUUGGUAUGUGCCGUGUGAAAGCUCUCAGCUUGCCUGGGAGAGGUCGCGGUAGACAGCCGAUCUGGAGGCUCGGAGAGGUCAGUGGAAUUCCCGGUGUAGUGGUGAAAUGCGUAGAUAUCAGGAGGAACACCGAUGGCGAAGGCAGGUCUCUGGGCAUUAACUGACGCUGAGGAGCGAAAGCAUGGGGAGCGAACAGG